CCGGCUGGGGAGCGGAACGGCAUGGGAGGGCCGGCCGCAGCGGGUGACAGCCCCGUACGCGAACCCAGACCGGACGGCGCGACGCGGUCCCUGAGUAGGGCCGGGCACGUGAAACCCGGUCCGAACCUGGGUGGACCACCAUCCAAGCCUGAGUACUACCCUGUGACCGAUAGCGCACCAGUACCGUGAGGGAAAGGUGAAAAGCACCCCGGGAGGGGAGUGAAACAGUACCUGAAACCGUGCGCCCACGAGCAGUCGGAGCACCCUUGUGGUGUGACGGCGUGCCUUUUGUAGAAUGAGCCAGCGAGUCGCUGGCGCGGGGCGAGGUUAACCGAAAGGGAGCCGGAGCGAAAGCGAGCCUUAACAGGGCGACUUGAGUCCCGCGCCGCGGACGCGAAGCCGGGUGAGCUAUCCGUGGGCAGGCUGAAGCGGGGGUAAGACCCCGUGGAGGGCCGAACGCACGUCGGUUGAAAACGGCGGCGAUGACCUGCGGAUAGGGGUGAAAGGCCAAUCAAACCCGGAGAUAUCUCGUUCUCCCCGAAAUAGCUUUAGGGCUAGCGUCGCGCGUUCACCGCCGGAGGUAGAGCACCGGAUGGACGAGGGGGCUUCGCCGCCUACCGAAUCCAACCGAACUCCGAAUGCCGGCGGCCCAGAGCGCGGCAGUCAGAGCAUGUGGGCUAAGCUGUGUGCUCGAGAGGGAAACAGCCCGGACCGCCCGCUAAGGUCCCCAAGUUCCAGCCGAGUGGCAAAGGAUGUGCGUCCGCCCAGACAACCAGGAUGUUGGCUUAGAAGCAGCCAUCCAUUCAAAGAGUGCGUAACAGCUCACUGGUCGAGUGGACAUGCGCCGACAAUACACGGGGCUAAGCUGGACACCGAAGCGGCGGGAUUUUAAUUCAUUAGAAUCGGUAGGGGAGCUUCCCAUGGGCGGAGAAGCCGGAGGGCGACCGACGGUGGAGCGCAUGGGAGUGAGAAUGCUGGCAUGAGUAGCGAGAGACGAGAGAGUAACUCGUCCGCCGUGAACCCGAGGUUUCCUGGGCAAGGCUAAUCCUCCCAGGGUCAGUCGGGGGCUAAGGCGAGGCCGGUAGGCGUAGCCGACGCGCAGCAGGCAGACAUUCCUGCACCGCGCACGCGGCGCUACGACCGACGGGGCGACGGAUGGGGGUGGCUCGGCGGGGUUCUGGACGUCCCCGUGAUGGAGCGCGGCCCGCGGACCAGGGAAAUCCGGUCCGCAUUGAGGGCGAGGCUCCGGACGAAGCGAUUGAGCGAAGCGAGUGAGCCCGAGGUCCCUAGAAAAACCCCUAGGCAGGCGCGUGCGCGCCCGUACCGCAAACCGACACAGGUGGGUGGGUAGAACAUACCGAGGCGAUCGGGUCAACCAUGGUCAAGGAACUCGGCACAAUGGCCCCGUAACUUCGGGAGAAGGGGUGCCCGCGCGUACGUGAACCGGCUCGCCCGGGGAGCGGAGGCGGGCCGCAGUGGAGAGGCCCAAGCGACUGUUUACCAAAAACACAGGACUCUGCAGAAGCCGCAAGGCGACGUAUAGGGUCUGACGCCUGCCCGGUGCCGGAAGGUCACGCGGAGGAGUUAGCGCAUCGCGCGAAGCCCCGAAGCCAAGCCCCGGUAAACGGCGGCCGUAACUAUAACGGUCCUAAGGUAGCGAAAUUCCUUGUCGGGUAAGUUCCGACCUGCACGAAAGGCGCAACGACUUGGGCGCUGUCUCGACCAUGGACCCGGUGAAAUUGCACUGGUCGUGAAGAUGCGACUUACCCGCGGAAGGACGGAAAGACCCCGUGAACCUUCACUGCAGCUUGGCAUUGGCCGCUGGUCCCGCGUGUAGAGGAUAGGCAGGAGGCGAAGAUCCGGAGGCGCCAGCCCCCGGGGAGCCGCCCUUGGAAUACUGCCCUCGCGCGACCGGCGUCCUAACCCGAGGCCGUCAACCGGCUCGGGGACCGUGCCAGGCGGGCAGUUUGACUGGGGCGGUCGCCUCCUAAAGGGUAACGGAGGCGCGCGAAGGUCCGCUCGGGACGGUCGGCAACCGUCCUUUUGAAUGCAAGAGUACAAGCGGGCUUGACUGCGAGGCCCACAAGCCGAGCAGGUGCGAAAGCAGGCUCUAGUGAUCCGGCGGCCCCGAGUGGGUGGGCCGUCGCUCAACGGAUAAAAGGUACUCCGGGGAUAACAG
rnacentral:rRNA from 1 species